GCCAUGCUAGUCGCACGAGUUCAGACUCGUGGCGGAUAGCUCAGUAACACGUGGUCAAACUACCCUAUAGACCAGAAUAACCUCGGGAAACUGAGGCUAAUACUGGAUAAGGCUCCUAUGCUGGAAUGCAAGGAGCUGGAAACGUUCCGGCGCUAUAGGAUGUGGCUGCGGCCGAUUAGGUAGACGGUGGGGUAACGGCCCACCGCGCCGAUAAUCGGUACGGGUUGUGAGAGCAAGAGCCCGGAGAUGGAUUCUGAGACAAGAAUCCAGGCCCUACGGGGCGCAGCAGGCGCGAAAACUUUACACUGCACGACAGUGCGAUAAGGGAACUCCGAGUGCGAGGGCAUAUAGUCCUCGCUUUUGUGUAUCGUAAGGUGGUACACGAAUAAGAGCUGGGCAAGACCGGUGCCAGCCGCCGCGGUAAUACCGGCAGCUCAAGUGAUGGCCGCUUUUAUUGGGCCUAAAGCGUCCGUAGCCGGCCGAACAGGUCCGUCGGGAAAUCUGCUCGCUCAACGAGCAGGCGUCCGGCGGAAACCAGUCGGCUUGGGGCCGGAAGGCUCGAGGGGUACGUCUGGGGUAGGAGUGAAAUCCUGUAAUCCUGGACGGACCACCGGUGGCGAAAGCGCCUCGAGAGGACGGACCCGACGGUGAGGGACGAAAGCUAGGGUCACGAACCGGAUUAGAUACCCGGGUAGUCCUAGCUGUAAACGAUGCUCGCUAGGUGUGGCACAGGCUACGAGCCUGUGCUGUGCCGUAGGGAAGCCGAGAAGCGAGCCGCCUGGGAAGUACGUCCGCAAGGAUGAAACUUAA
rnacentral:rRNA from 1 species